GCUAACCAGCAGAGGAAAGUGAUGGCAGCUGGUGUUGGGGCUGGGGGCCUCCAGGCCAGGCUGAGGAGAGUCAGCUCCCUGACACCAUAGCUGGAGAGAACCUGGGUAGGGUCUGCUGGGAAAAGCCCCCAAUUCAGCGAUGACCGGCAGACCUCCUACUUGGGGUGAGAUGGGGAACUAGAGCAGGGCCCCAACCACAGUGAAAGAAAGUCUGGGACUCCUUCAUGGUGAACCACUUCCAAUCAGCCCCUCCUAAGCCUUUACUCAUCCCCAGAUGUUUACAGUUGUUUGCACAAGACUGGGGUGAGCUUCCUGGAAUCUACUAGAGCCAAGUUGCCUUCCCACCAUGUCCUUGGUCCUCCCCCAGUCACUCCACAGAGGACAAUCAGGGAUGAGUGUGUCUGUGAAGCCCAAGCCGUGCAGGCUCUCUGACAAGCCCCCAAACUUCCAAGGCCCAGGAGGCUCCCUGGAAUGGGGUGGGGGCAUCCUCUGACAACUCCUGCCCCACCCUCUUUGGAAAGCAGAACAAAACAGUGCUUCCAAAGGGAAAGAGAAACUGCUGGUGAGCAGC